CCUACGGGAGGCAGCAGUGAGGAAUAUUGGUCAAUGGACGAGAGUCUGAACCAGCCAAGUCGCGUGAAGGAUGACUGCCCUAUGGGUUGUAAACUUCUUUUAUAAAGGAAUAAAACGAGGCACGUGUGCCUUUUUGCAUGUACUUUAUGAAUAAGGAUCGGCUAACUCCGUGCCAGCAGCCGCGGUAAUACGGAGGAUCCGAGCGUUAUCCGGAUUUAGUGGGUUUAAAGGGAGCGUAGAUGGGUUGUUAAGUCAGUUGUGAAAGUUUGCGGAUCAACCGUAAAAUUGCAAUGGAUACUGGAAGUCUUGAGGACAGUGGAGGUAGGCGGAAUUCGUGGUGUAGCGGUGAAAUGCUUAGAUAUCACGAAGAACCCCGAUUGCGAAGGCAGCUUACUAAACUGUGACUGACAUUGAUGCUCGAAAGUGUGGGUAUCAAACAGGAUUAGAGACCCUUGUAGUC
rnacentral:rRNA from 1 species